rnacentral:lncRNA from 1 species
GAGUGUUUUUUUUUCGUAAUGCAAAUUGAUGAGAACAUGGGGACUGCGCCUAUCCUGUUCACAUGUGUAUCCCAGAAACCUAGCCCAGAGCAGGGCAGGAAUGAGGAAGUCGGUAUUUCUUGAUGGGUGAAUAAAUGAAUGAAUGAAUUUCAUAGUCACAGAAAUGUGUAUAUUUGGUUUUCCCCAAGGCUAAAAGGAAGAGGGACGCUGCCUCCCUGUGGUCUUCCACUGCUUUCUUCACCCUCUGGGGCCAAUUUCCCCCUUGGCAAGCAAGGGCAGUUGGACUGAGUAAGUCACAGGACUUCUUCCUGCCUUAAUAAGCAACAGCAGCACGACUCUGUGCUUUCCGUUUCUUUUUGCCUGCCUUCCUGCAACGGGGGAAAGAAUCAAGAUGAAAAUCAACCACAACCCGGAGAUUUGUUGUCACUUUUAAUAGGAGGAGUGGAGUCAAAGAGUUUAGAGAAAUGUAGAAAAAGACCUUUUACUUUUUGCUGGAACAUGAUAUGGUUUGUGCAUGGCACAUACAUAUUAAAAAAAUAGAAGUUUCACAUUUCGCAAGCACAUGACUGAACAGCAUCUGGGCUGCAUUACCCGCUGUGCCUAAGCUGGAGGACAGCUCUACCCUGGGACCAGCCUGAGGUACUUAGUGGUCUACAGAAAGAGGAAACCAUGCAGAACACGGCUCUCUGAUGCUGAAAUUUCAGUUCAAUGAGGACCUGCAUAGAACAAGAACUUGAAGGGUCUGAGGUCCAGGACAAGAAAGUGGCCCAGAACCAGCGUCUAAGGAGAACUGCAAACUGCACAGGACAGGCCGAGGGUCAGGAGAGAAUUUCAGGCCUGGGUUUCUGGGCAGGAGAGAUACCUAUAUGUCUAAAGAGGAGAGAGUCACACCAUCCCCCAGCCAUUCCACACUCCAAGCUCCACUGGGAACUGAUACGCACCUCAGGUUCGGGGUGCCUGCGUUUCUGAUGGACCCUGUUCAAGAGACUGAUUGCACUGAACGAGACUCCCUAAGAAACAGUCAGCUUUAUCCCCGCCUCCAAGCAGACCUGCACUUCAAUAUUCCAAAGAGUCAAGACGGACUAGUUUUCUCCCUUUUCUACCACAUCCGAGGCUCGGCCACACACACACGUGCUUCAGGGUUUCUACUGUCUCUUCCAUCUUCGCGUACCUUGGUGUGGCUUUUUCCUCCUCACCCAGCACGUGUCCUCCCUGACAUCUGCAGGGCAGAGGAGGUGGCCGGUGAGGUGUCUCUCCCUUCGAUUACCGACCUCCAUCUUCAGCUCAGAAUUCCUCUGCCCGGAUCCGUCUAUAGAUGGAUGCAACUGCAAAUAGUAAGGUAUGUUGAAGAUGAAGGUAUUCGCAACAGAUGA